CCUUUCGUUUCAAUGGGAUUGACGUUGUACUUGGAUUCCACGUUCUUCUAAUCCUCAUGUUCUGUCUUUAGUCUUCAAGAAAGUAGAAAGGAUGGCAAGACGACGAGUUCGGUUGCAUAAUUCGGCUUUUGAAAUGGUACAAGGUUUCAGGUCAUUAGAUGGAAGAACUUAAACGUGGAGAUACAGCAAAGCUUAGCAAAACGAACAUUACAGGAAACUAAUAAUGAAUGCAACAUAAAAUCGGCCGGUUCCAUCCAUGAAAAGACAAGACUAGGCAAGCUCUCCCAACGGACUCGCCAGAUAUAUCUUCUUCUGGCUGAGUUGCUGGGCUCGACAGUCUCACUCUUAAGCAGGUGAGUUCGCAUCGUAUCUACUGGGAUUGAACCACGAAAGACGUACGAGCUAGCAGGAGUGGGCACAGAAGGGAACUAACCUGAGGCGAUUAAUAAGGAGCCAGGAUUUGGUUGGAUGACUGGUUUCCUCUAUAUUGUCUGCUUUGUCGGUCUCUACGUAUUAAUUCCUCUCAAAACGAUAAUGAUAGUCGACCUCAAACUGACUUACCCGAGCGGCUUGGCCUCUGCAGUGCUCAUCAAUGGUUUCCACUCGCAGGUAGACAAGAUGGGACGGUACUAAACAUCAUCAUUCACAAUCGCAACGAACUCGAUUAGCCACACUUUCCUGGCGGGUACUUAACGGUACACUCCAGUGUUUCCUCAGGAAGCAGGUCCGAGAAUUCAUGAAGCUAUUCUCGUUCAGUUCCCUGUAGGGAUUCUUCCAGUGGUUCUAUACCGGAAAUGAAGGUUCCGGGUUCGCCCACUUCCUUACUUUCGGUUUGCAAGCUUGGAAGCAAACGUACCUUCUCCCAUCUUUCCUUUUCUGAUUCUGCAUUAGAAGUUCAUGUUCUGCCCCCUCGGACUGUAGUAUCCACAUCGGUAUCAUCAGCAUAUCCGACUGAUCUAUUAUUUUCUAUUCGGGUCGAAUGGAAAACAAAAACAAUACAUGUCUCUGCAGUUUUUAUCGCAUACUAUGGUAGUUAUUGUGUGAGUCCACCGGUUGCACCCAUGGAUUUAGCCAAUAUUAGGUGCAAUGAAACCCUUAUGUCUCUAGCGUGAUGCCAUCGAUUGGUUAUCGACUAAUGCAGAACAACGUAUCAAUUAUGACGAACAUUGCGCCCUUCAACCUGUUCUUGACAAUUUUUGCGACUAGAAAUUCGCAGAUUCUACUUUGACUUCAGCAAGACAUUUGUGGGAGUAUGCAGUAAUGAUCUGUUCCCACCUGGUGAACUUAUCACUGCUCCUCGGUUCUGUGCUCCCCUAUGGACUAAUGUGGCCCCUCGAUCAUCAACCGUUUGGAUGAAGGGAGACUAGUUCCUUGACGACUUGGAAGAAAGCAGCAUGAGGAGCCUGUAUGGCUACAAGGUCUUAUUGACCGAUCCGAAUCAUCAAAUAAGUAUACUAAUUACCGUCCGUGAUGUCGUCGGCAAAACCCACAGUUGAAGCCCUAAUUUCCAUUCUUGGUGUUCAUUGCAGGCAUUUAUAUUGGUGGCUCUCAUCUUUGGGGAUGGGCUCUACAAUUUCGAGAAGAUAUUAUCGGUCACUGCGAUGAACAUUCCCAGGACCACAGCAGAGUCAAAAACCGGAAUUUCGGCACAGCAAGCAAGCAUGUCGAUGAUAAGAGACAGAAUGAGAUGUUCUCGAGAUUAACCCUAGAAGGCAAGAGCUGAUGGCCCCUGCGGUUGCAUCUGGGUUGAUCUACAGAGAGGGGCUGUGGAUCCUCCCUGCUUCAGUCUCCAAUUUGUAUGAAAUUUUUGCCUUCCUAGGUCUGCAUACGUUUCCAUUAGAAAGGAAAAGGAACAACACUAUACUCGAUAAAGAAAGAAAAAAAUCAUCGAUAAAACAACAAACGCACUUAUCGAAUAGCAGGCUGUUGUGCGAGAUCAAAAUUUGAAUUAACUCAAGAUACCAAAAUGCUUAUAAAACUGUCCAACUCCUUAAUACAGACAUCAACUGUGAUACACCGGCCAACAAUAGCCGGGAACAAACAGAAAAAGAAAAAA